rnacentral:rRNA from 1 species
UACGAAGGGGGCUAGCGUUGUUCGGAAUUACUGGGCGUAAAGCGCGCGCAGGCGGUCUUCCAAGUCAGUGGUGAAGCCUGGAGCUCAACUCCAGAACUGCCAUUGAAACUGUUAGACUUGAGUACGAGAGAGGUGAGUGGAAUUCCCAGUGUAGAGGUGAAAUCGUAGAUAUUGGGAAGAACACCAGUGGCGAAGGCGGCUCACUGGCUCGUAACUGACGCUCAGGCGCGACAGCGUGGGGAGUCAAACAGG